UACUCAUGUAGUGGGCGUACACUGUGGU
rnacentral:piRNA from 1 species